rnacentral:lncRNA from 1 species
GAUGUUGCUGCUUUCAAGAUGCGUGGUAGCAAAGCUAUUCUUAACUUCCCCAACGAAAUAACCGAUAACUGCGAGAGUAGUACCAUUACCUCCCGGAACCUACCAGAGAAGAAAACGAUGGCCGUGAGUAAGAAGAAAUCAAAAGAAGAAGAAGAAGAUGGGACGAUGAAAAAGAGGAGAGUGGUAUCGGAGGAGGAUUUCGGAGCCCCAUUGACGCCGUCGAGCUGGACGGGUUUUUGGGAAGACGAUGAGCAAGGAAACGGAUUAUUCGUUGUCCCUCCAUUGUCACCCUCCACUUCAUCUCCACGUACCAAUAAUCCUCUUGGAUUCCGGCAGAUGGUUUUCACAUGAUCUGUGUAUUUUUUUUAUUAAGAGAACCUAUGGUACUUUUACCAAGUUAAGUCCCAUAAU